rnacentral:lncRNA from 1 species
GAAAAAAAAAAGGGGGGGGGGGCCACGUCAGCAGCCACGUCAGCAGACCCAGUCAGCAGUCCCGGCCAACCGGGAUCUGCCACGUGGCAAGACCACGUCGAUCCGGGACGGGCCACGUUGGCGAUCCGCGUAUGCGCGAUCGGACGGUCCAGAUCGAACGUGCGAUCGGACGGCCCAGAUGCAAUCGCACGGACGGCCCAGAUUCAAUCAAAAACGGACGGCCCAGAUUAAAUCAAAAUGGACGGCUGAGAUCAAAAGGCAAAAGGGUAUA